rnacentral:rRNA from 1 species
GACGAACGCUGGCGGCGUGCUUAACACAUGCAAGUCGAACGGUAAGGCCCUUCGGGGUACACGAGUGGCGAACGGGUGAGUAACACGUGGGUGAUCUGCCCUGCACUUCGGGAUAAGCCUGGGAAACUGGGUCUAAUACCGGAUAGGACCCUGGGAUGCAUGUCCUGGGGUGGAAAGCUUUUGCGGGGUGGGAUGGGCCCGCGGGCUAUCAGCUUGGUGGUGGGGUGAUGGCCUAUCAAGGCGACGACGGGUAGCCGGCCUGGGAGGGUGGACGGCCACAGUGGGACUGCGAUACGGCCCAGACGCCUACGGGGGGCAGCAGUGGGGAAUAUUGCACAAUGGGCGCAAGCCUGAUGCAGCGACGCCGCGUGAGGGAUGACGGCCUUCGGGUUGUAAACCUCUUUCAGCACCGACGAAGCGCAAGUGACGGUAGGUGCAGAAGAAGGACCGGCCAACUACGUGCCAGCCGCCGCGGUAA